AGUAAAAGUCGUAACAAGGUUUCCGUAGGUGAACCUGCGGAAGGAUCAUUACCGUUGGAGUCCGCUCCAAUCUGGGAUAGAACCCUUGCCUUUGAGUACCUUUUCGUUUCCUCGGUGGGCUCGCCCGCCGGUGGACAACCAUAAACUCUUUGUAAUAGCAGUAUCUUCUGAGAAAAACAAAUAGUCAAAACUUUCAACAACGGAUCUCUUGGUUCUGGCAUCGAUGAAGAACGCAGCGAAAUGCGAUAAGUAGUGUGAAUUGCAGAAUUCAGUGAAUCAUCGAAUCUUUGAACGCACAUUGCGCCCUUCGGUAUUCCGUUGGGCAUGCCUGUUCGAGCGUCAUUUAAGCAUUCAAGCUCAGCUUGGUGUUGGGUGCUUGUCCUCCCCCGCGGUGGACUCGCCUCAAAUGCAUUGGCGGCCGGUAUGUUGGCUUCGAGCGCAGUAGAAACGCGCCAGACGCCCUGACAUGCUGGUCCCCCACAAGACCACUCUUUAUAGCUUGACCUCGGAUCAGGUAGGGAUACCCGCUGAACUUAAGCAUAUCAAUAAGCGGAGGA
rnacentral:rRNA from 1 species